GUGUAGCUCAGUGGUAGAGUGCAUGCUUAACAUGCUAGAGGCUCUGGGUUCAAUCCCUAGCAC
rnacentral:tRNA from 1 species